ACCAGAGACGAUAUUACGUUGAAUGCACCAGUUCCCCCUGGAUCACUGAAGUUAAGCGCCGUUGCACGUGGUUAGUAUCCGGAUGGGUGAAUAUCUGGGCAGUCAUGUUCUGCUGGUU
rnacentral:rRNA from 1 species